UUCGAACCAGCUGGUUGGGGGCAGCCAUGGAAGAUCUGCACAUGGAUGGGGAGCCGUCGAUCUUUGUUUGGGAGGUGCGCUGCAAAUCCAGCCGUCCUUUUGCUCUUCGUCUGAGAGAUUUCUGGUGGGAAGAUUUUUCAUCCUUUCUACAGCCUUCCACUCAGACUUCCAUCUCUCUUGCUUUCGAAUUUCUGCAUCCUUUGUCUUCCGGGAUGCAUCCCAUUUUCAUUUCAUGAAUUUUAUUGUUGGCUGGGAGAUUUUUCGUUUUUUGAAAUAGAAACAGGGUUUGCAUUUCUCCCCUAUUAAUUUUGAGAUUUUUCAUUCCCCCUGUCGGCUACCUCUACAUCCUUCUCACAGGCACUUCUAUCAUAGAUUGUGACUUUGAACUAUGAUUCACCAUCAUAACGGAAAACCAGGAAAUUCCCAACUUCUAAAUGAUGAUCCUUCACAAAACCCUGUCAACCCUUAGAGAAGAACAAGCCAUUCUCUCUCUUCUUCCAAUUCCACAGCCCUCCCUUUCCCACUUGGGCCUCUAAGAGAACAUUUGUGAAGUGAUCCUCCGUUGAAGUUCUUGAUAAACACCGGUGAUAUAUGCUGCAAAAUUCAAUAGCCUUUGAAUUGAACAUCCUAUGAUGGGAUUGAACAUGCUUUUGAAUUGGUAAUGGCAGGUGACUCUUUGUGUAUGAAGAAAGGCUUGCGAUUGCCCUUGCUGCUGUUGUGGGACAGAGCCAGUGUAUAUGUACAGAAGUUGUGAUGCUGGGUUCGCUUCUAACCAGGUUGGUUGGCCUGGUUGCGGGGCAAUGAUGGAAGAGGUCGGUCUACUGUUGGAGAUUAUCUGGAGGCUUCGAUUUUUAUAGGAGUGGCGUGCGUUGGUCUUCUUCUUCAAAUCGAACUCCAGCUUUCUCUCUGUUUCAGUCUCUUUCUCUCACUGAUCUUUGCUAGGGACUGGAAUGGAUACGCAGGAUACAUCUCCUUCAAUGUUGCUAUUCUUUGACAAGGAAAGAUUUAUAUUUAAUGCUGGAGAGUAUGAAUCACAGUUAGGCAGUCAUCCAAUUGCUUCAGAUUCAAUUGUCUCUCACCUCUCUGACGUAUAAGCAAUCACUGAAGCAAAGAAGCGAAGAUAACUUUCAGGUGAGCUUGGGUACGAAAUCCAAAUACGAGAAGCAGUCGUUCGCCCAAAUUGUUUAACCAUUCUUCGCUUUAAAGAGUCAAGACCUCCAUCAAAGAGAAGAAAAGUCAUGAAGAAAUUGCAAAACAAAGCCCAACGAAUUAAACGUGCUGCUCAAAACUAUUCAAAUUUUGCUAUUUUAAUAGCUCCUUCCCACUAUUAACAUCUCAAUGUAUAUACAAACAUGUGUACUAUUUUAACAUAACAAGUAGCCUGUAAAAUAUGUGAUUUCCUUUUUUUUCACUUAUACUUCCUUAGUUAAGCAUAAUGCUACGAGUUAAAUCUCAUUGUAUAUAUAAACAAUUUUAUUUUGUCUACGUAAUUUCAAAACCCGCAGCAUCGCGCGGGCUUUAUUGCUAGUAA